rnacentral:snRNA from 9 species
AUACUUACCUGGCGUAGGGAUCCCGUGAUCAUGCAGGCGGUUCCCCAGGGUGAGGCGGCCCUAUUGCACUGCGGAGUAGUUAACCCUUACGAUUUUUUUUAUUUUUUUAUAAGUUUCACUUCUACCGUGUGUGACUUGCUUGCACAUACACACA